rnacentral:lncRNA from 1 species
CUUAAAUGUUAGUGUGUUGCCAGGACCACAAGAGCUAAUUGAGGAGGUGGGAUUCCUUGAUGGCCUCCAGGCUUGCUAAUGGCUGGCCAGCUCCCUGACAAAGCCUGCAGCUGCAAGGACUCCGGGGUACCUGCGAGCUAGAUCUGGAGAUGCAGAUGGAAGGGAACACCCUGGACCUGCCAGAGAGGAAAUUUUCGACCAGAGGUCUCCCUGGGGAACUGUGUGGAGUGAGGGCAGCGAUUUGAAUAUCUGCAGGUUGCUGAUGGUUACUGUACUGGGGAGAGGGGGUCUGAAGGACCACAUAUCUGGUCUCUGGAAUAGCUGUCUCAUCACAGAACAGGAACAGGACCAGCAGGCUUGGAGAGGGUGCUGAAUGGAAACUGAGACAGCUCUGGAAGGCCAUUCUGUACCUGGCAUUAAUGUGAGGGAAGGAAUGAAACCCGAAGACUGGCCUGCCAGACACCAGAGGUCACUUGCCUGAAAUCUGGGGGUCAGCUUCAGGUCACAGAGGGAAGCUUGGAGUGGCUCACAUCUUCCUUCCUUCCUUCCUUCUUCCCUUCCUUCCUUCCUCCCUCCCUUUCUUCCUUUCUUCCUUCCUUUUUUCCCCAUUGGAAAAUCACUUUUGUUUUGUUAGUAAAAUUAAAUGCAAACAAAGUUAGUAGAAUAUAUACA